rnacentral:rRNA from 1 species
UACGUAGGGUGCGAGCGUUAAUCGGAAUUACUGGGCGUAAAGGGCGCGUAGGCGGUCAUUUAAGUCCGGGGUGAAAGGUUCAGCGCUCAACGCGAACAGUGCCUCGGAUACUGGGUGACUUGAGUCUGGCAGGGGGGUGGCGGAAUUCCUGGUGUAGCGGUGAAAUGCGUAGAUAUCUGGAAGAACACCCGUGGCGAAGGCGCUUUCUGGUCAGUAACUGAGCU